rnacentral:rRNA from 1 species
UACACGCUGUGACUAGCAUAUCAAUAAGCGGAGGAAAAGAAACUAACAAGGAUUCCCCUAGUAACGGCGAGUGAAGCGGGAAGAGCUCAAAUUUGAAAUCUUAAAGGGUUUCCCUUUACGAAUUGUAGUUUAAAGAAGUGUUUUCUGUUGAGGUUUUGGUAAAAGUUCUUUGGAAUAGGACAUCAUAGAGGGUGAGAAUCCCGUAUUUGACCUUUACUUUCAACUUUGUGAUACACUUUCAAAGAGUCGGAUUGUUUGGGAAUGCAGUCCAAAAUGGGUGGUAAAUUUCAUCUAAAGCUAAAUAUUGGCGAGAGACCGAUAGCGAACAAGUACCGUGAGGGAAAGAUGAAAAGAACUUUGAAAAGAGAGUUAAACAGUACGUGAAAUUGUCAAAAGGGAAGCGUUUGACACCAGUGUUGUUUUUCUGAAAAUCAAUUAAAGAACUGUUUAUGCUAAGUUGUUUAGACUUUAUCAGCUAUCUGUUUAGUUUUGAGCUUUUCUUUAAUGCACUUUUCAGUUAACAAGUCAACAUCAAUUUCUUUUGCUGUAUAAAAGCUUGAGGAAGGUGGCUUGAGAUUCGUCUUAAGUGUUUAUAGCCUCUUGCCUAUGCAGUCGGAGAGAUUGAGGUCUGCAGCGUAGAUCCUUCGGGGCUAAAUGCAUUUGUGCUAAGUUAUAGCACUUUAUAGACAACUUGUUGACUAUGAUUUGUCUUGUAGCUUACUCGCUUAUGUUAUUUUACCUACGCUUAGGAUGUUGAAGAUGUAGCACAUCAU